rnacentral:rRNA from 1 species
AGGAUCAUUAUCGAGUUUUGAACGGGUUGUAGCUGACCUCUUUUUGGGGUAUGUG